rnacentral:lncRNA from 1 species
GGACAGACCUGGGACCUACAUCUGCUUCCCCUGAGGAAAUGACCUCAUUCUUGAUGGCUGCUGCUAACUUAUGGUGAGAUGCUGGGUCCCUGCCCAAUACCACAUGGACAUCCAAUCAAUUUACCCAGGGACAAGUCCACUCAAGAGCAUCAUUUAGAAGAGGGAAAAGGCACUGGGGUUAUUUGUUUUUGGAGUAUGUGCUUAAGGAAAUCUAGAGUAUUCCCACGAGCAUUCUGCUGAGAUGAACAAUCAGAUGACCUCGUGUGAGAUUUGGAGGAGAGAAGGAAAUGGAGAGCAUGCGUCUGCCGCUUCUGUGGUUUCUGUCGGUAAGCACAGUGAUGAGGUGCUGAGUUUUCCCCAGAAGGCCUCCCAGUGUCCUAUUACCAGCUUCACAAGCGUCGAGGGCAGGGCAUGGGCAUCUAUUGUUCACCAGUGGAGAUCUAUCUGGCACAGAACCGAUCCAACCAUUGCAGUGGUCACAGCGGUGUUGGCUUUCUGAUUCUCAACCUUCCUGACCGCCAGAGGAGACAGCCUCUUUGGUGGCCCUGUUCUGUGGU